CAUUCCCCCACCUUCUUCCCCUAUCCCCCACCUUCAGCCCUUCCCCCACCCCCGCAUCAACUCUUUUCCCCAUCUCUCCCCCAUUUCCCCAUGAAAUUGAGUGGAUCAAGAAAGAGUUUCAAGCCAUGGUAGCUUUUUUAAGAGAUGUUGACAAGAGACAACAAAGAGAUGAAACUGUGUCUGGUUGGGUUAAAGAGGGGCUGAAGUUUCUUCUUCUCUUCCUGUACAGUGACUAGGUGCUCGAUCAGAUCAUGUGUUGACUCUGAGGUGAUUCGAGUACUACUUGCCGCUGGUGAUUUGAAGCUCAUUCAGGGUUGAUUUCAAAGAUUAGAUGAGCUCAUGGAGUUAGAGUUACCCUUUUUUCCUUAUACUUAUCUAUGUCUACUCUUUCAUUUUUAUGACAGAUUAUAUUUGACUAUUCAGUACUAAUAGUUUAUUUGUAGUUGCUCUUGUAUCGACAUUACUAUAUUUUAGGAUAAUUAUUGACCUUUUA